GCUUAGGAGAUGAAGUUGCCUUUCAACGUGUAUGUCUUAAAGCACCAAAAGAGCUUAGGUGUCUGACUCAGCCUUCUGGAUCUGCAGCGCUAAUGGAAAGGACUUGAUCUAAAGCAUGCUGGAGUAGGUGAAAGAGGAGAGCAAUAGCUGCAGUGCCAUCCCGUGGUUUUCAAGAGGAUGCUGCCUCCACGAGAGCUGGCUUGGAUCACAUGGGGAAGCAUAGUAACUCAAAGCUGCUAGACAAACGUGGAGGAUAAAUAUGGAGAAUGGAGAACCUAAGGGCAAGUAUUUGAUUACUGGAAGCCUAUCAGAGCUUACAGGGGGCUGUUACCUCAGAACUUGAAGUCAAGAUGGACUGUGCUAUCUUUCUGAGACAUCUGAGCAAUAAUUUAGGAGUUUUUCCAGUUACCAUGGAUGGGUGAAGUACAGUUGCUGCUCUGAAAGUACUGCCUCCUAUUUUAUUACUUUGGCCCAUGAAGUCAGGGAUGGAUGUUGGUGAUGUGGCCGUAAAGGUUGAACUUUCCCACCAAUGUUCUGCUACAUUUUCUUGGUGUGUGACAGAUGGCAGCUUGUCCUGCACCUCAAAACUCUUCCAAGUCCAAACAGAAGCUGUUGCUUUCCUGUGACAUACAAGAAAACAAUAAUGUGCAGUGGAAACUUAAUGCCAACUGAUUUGCUGAACUUCAAUGGAAACCAUCACUUCUUCAUGGCAGUUAACUACUGGGAUUCAGAUGUGAAAUUCUGGCUGAGCACAAAGAGGUGAGUCAUGCAAGCCUACACAGAUAUCUUGUCGGAGGAAGGAAAACACAAUGUGGAAGGACAGAGAAAAGCUUUCUAACAAGAAGAGGAACUUUCUGGGGUGGUGGCAAGGUGUUGGGAGAAGGUGGCUCUUCCCCGGUGUGUUGCAGUGUGUUGGAGCUCCUUAAGUGGCCAUGGCAGGAGAAUAAACACAGUGAGGGACCCAAGUCUAUACACAAGCACCUACAACACACCUGUCUUACAAUGAGAGAACGUAAGUGAGCAAGGCUCAGUGUGAUGUGGCAAAAUGCUGGCAUCUGCCUUUUGGCAUGGGAGUUUCAUGUUUUUGGCAUGGGAGCCAUCAGUGUUUAAUAGAAACUGCUAUUGGAACUGCUUUUGGACUUAGGGCAUGUGAUGUUUGUUCUCAUUUAAUGUCUUAAAUGGUUUGUAUAAAAUGAAAGGGGUAACCGUGGAAGAAACUGCAAACUUCCUUUUUAAAAACUUGUUCCCAUUUUCCAACUGAGUGUAAAGAGAUUUGUGGCACAGUUUGAGGCCCAGCAUGUGUCCGGGAGGGAAGGCCAAGCUCUGAACAAUGGUUGUAUUUGCUGACAUCAGCUGAUUCAUAGCAGUUCACAAGAUUUAUGGAAGACCACCUUCAGACUGCAUGGUUCUGGCAAACAGAAUGAAUGAGUUAAUUUUCCUGGGACCGAGACCCCUAAAUUUUCUCUGCCACUUCCCUAGAGGCCUUGCACAAAUGUUUCAGGGCAGUUACCUGAUGGAGAGACACUCAUGGCUCCAAGCUGGGGCAGCUGAUUGCUACUUACGUGGUUUAAAUUGCUUGCACCUUUAGCAGAAGAGGACAGCCUGAUGGGGAUCUGGCAUCCCCAGCAACUCCAAAGGCACAGCUGUGAAAGAGAUGACAUCUCAACUCCUACAAGGCUGCUCUUCUUAUAUCACGGGGAUUUGGAUUUCUCUUCUGUUUCUAGUCAGCCUGAAAGGGUGAUUGGAAAUGGCAUGCUGUGGUGCUGCUGUUUGAGAGGGAUGGACCUAUGGCUACCCCUACAGAUACAUCCUGGCGGGGCAACUAAAGGGGCUGGGAACACACAGAUGAGAGCACCUUGAGUGCCUGUUUGUAAUGCUGUGAUUUGCGAUGCCUUGCAAUGCUUUCUGGAAGUGUUUAGAUAACAUAAUGGGCCCCGUAUGGCAUCUGAGGAGACAAGGUCUGACAUUCCUUAGACAGUGUUUUGAUGAGGAAAAUGUUUGUAUUUAAUUAAGGCUGCUCCACAGUAAUGGCUAUGAGGCUGUAGAAGGCUGAGCUGGGAUGAAAACAAUAUUGCCCAAGUCCAGUAAUGCAGAAAGAAAUUAUUAGUUUAACGGGGUGUGAAAUUAUCCAUUUUGUUUUCUUCAAAAUUAACUGUAGUUCACUGUAUAGCCUGCUAUGACUGACCAAACCACAUCAAAGGGUUGCCCAUGCAAGAGAACAGGAAAUAUUUCCCAACAAGAAUCUGAGGUGUAGCUCUACGAGGACAGUUGAUAGCAGAUUGGUGACAGUGCAGUGCUAUGUAAGAAGUCGAUUUUAGUUCUUAGGAAGGAAAGCUAGGUGGCUGAGUUUCUGACUGCUUAGGGUGCAGAGAAGUGGGAAUGGGGCAAUAUUUUGGCAAAUACUGACCAGACUUCUGUGUCUGCAUCCUUGUUCUGUCCCAUACAAACUGUUGAAAAUUUGUCCUAACACAAUUACUUCAGAGACAGAAGUCAGAAGAGACAGAGACUUUCUGCGUCAGGAAGUCUUAAAAUGUAGCUGACAAAAUGAAUUUUUGAAGGUCUGAUACUGAAUGAGUUAUAAAACAGUGAUCUGGCUCCUCCAACUCACCCAACCCAUUCAACAGUGAAAUCUCAGGCUCUCGCAGUCAGUUUGCAACUGAACACAAAGUCAACAUGUAUUCAGACAAAGCAUUCACAGCAUAAUUCCACACCCAGAUCAUACAUGGGAAAGUGAUAGGUAUACAGGAAACACAUGAAUUAAGUGGGAAAAGGGAGAAAAAAGCUUACUUUGGUGAACUGGCGACUUAACUUGGUUGUGCUUUGGAAUAUGCAUCCCCACAGGUUACACGUUUCCAUUGCCAGCCCUAGGAAUGCAGUACAGGAUGCAACCAGCUGAUAACAGUCUGUGCUGCAAAGCCCCCCUUCGAGCUCCAGUACAAAACAGGUCUCCCUGGGCUCUGUAAUUACUGUCUGCAUAUUAUUCAAUUGCCUAAAAGUGCCAUACCAUAGGUGAAAUGAGCAACAGCCAAGCAAGCAUACUUGGCUGUAGUUCUAGAAUAAGCUGCAGUGCAUGGUGGUUGCCAGACUAAGAAGAAAGGAAUUGCUUAAUGCAUGAAGAGUAUCUUUUCAGAGUGACAUCUAUGCACGUGUUUGCAAGAAAACUUUGUAUUUGCAGGUGCCUGAUAAUGAAAGGGAAAGUGUAUUGCAGUGGUUCAAUGGAGGCAGCGGUGUAUGUGUAUCCUUCCAGGAGGUGUGGAUGUAAGUAUGGAAAUAUCCUCCAGAAUAAUGGUUUGAAUCUGGGGAACUGAAACUCUUCAAGAGCUGGUGCCAAUGAGACAGUUUUCUUCAGGCUUUUUCUCCUCUGCUGGAGACUUCAUGUGAGAUCCCUCGUCCCAGGGUCCCAAAUAACUCAAAACAAGUGAAGGCACUGAAAGCACUACAGCAGGUAAAUGCAGACAAGUCAGAGGGCCAUCUGAAUAUCUUCUGAGCUAUUUUCAGAACACUGGUUUUUAGUUCAGCCUUAUCUGUUGUCCCAUUUUAAGCCCUCAUCAGUCUCUCCCGAGUCAGCUUCCUCUACCUCUGUGGUCCUAUCUGUGGUCUUAGUAGGGUUUCUUCAGUAGGAAUAUAUAAUGACAUGAGAAUGCAUUGCUUUACUAUUAUGUGGAAGAAAAACUGGUUGCUCAUCCAGUGUUAAUUUUCUAUGGCUAUGUGGAAAGUGGCCCUUAUCAGAAAAAGUGAAAUAGAGACACUGUUGAACAUGAUAAAAAGAGGGAGAGCCUUAUGAGUUAAAAUAUAAACAUAAACACUUGCAAAAGUGCAGAAAUUACAGCUGUUAAUGGCCAUGUAUAAAAUGAUUGAAGAACCUGUUGCACAACCAGCCCAUUGAGUACUGCAGUAAUUGUUCUCUAAUUGAAAUCAAUGACAAAAUCAUCACUGAUUUCCCAGGGACUGGACAUGAGCACAAACACUUUCUGUUUGCUGCAACUGAAUCUUAAGCACCUCUCACAAAGGAGGAGAUUGGAAUCCUGGGGAUGAUCUAUAUAUGUUUUUACACCGGAACAGUCGGAAUUGCACAGAGAAAUACUGAUUUUCACCUGCUGCUCUAUACAGAGACCUUAAUAGCCUGUGCUUCUUCCGUGCUUUAGUGGUCUCCUGACUGGGAGAUGUUUCUGUGAACAAUGUCUUUAUGCAGUAGUGGGAUGGCUGAGGGCUCUCAAGCAAUUUGAUCCCAUGCAAGCUAACCUGCCUAUAAGGAAAAGCUUAUGUCAAGCAAGCAAUCCGCAGAUUAGUUCUGCACUGCCUGCAAAGCUAAAUGUGCCCAACUGAUGGCUUAUUCAUAAGAUUUUGGAGGCUUGAGUGCUUUGUUUUAAAAAAAAUCUGACGUGGUCACAGCUUUCCUUCAGUUGUGCUUUGUUCAGAUUUUGUGUUUUUGAUGUCAGUGGGAGUUGUGGCCGCAGCAAUCCAGAGGCAAGGUGCUGACAAGCAUUCCCAGCACACUGUGAAAAUAAACUCCCUGUGGAUUGCUGAAGUCCUGCAGCAUCUGUCUUCUGGCCCUUUUUUCUCUCUCGGUGAGCUGACUAGACUUUUUAAACAGAAUGGAUUUCACCAAAGCAAAUUGAUAUUUUGUCCUGCAAUAUAAAGCUGAUUUAUGGUGGAUCACUUGAUUUAUUGCUUCCAGACAACAAACAAGUCAAAAUGUCAAUUCGUGUUUUCAUUCCUUCAAACCUGAACCACUGUGGACCCUUUGAGCUGCUGCUAAAACCACAGAGCAAAAGCCAUCCAGGUGCAAUCCACAGCCCCUCACUGUGAGAGCAGGGGCUCCCAGCACACCAAUACCACAUGCUUCUGGGGGUGCUCCUCUGUGGAGAGACUUCUUUGUUGUGUCCAAAGCUUCUGAAAUCAAAAGCUCUCCAAAAAGCCCUCUGCUAAGUGUCAGUGAUGGAUGCCCAUCCUCCCCAGUGUGUGCAGGGAUAGAACGUAGCACAGUGAUUGGGUUGGCUGGGACUUGUACAUACUGCACUGGUUCAAGGCCUGGAUUCGUGAGGCUGGAGGAACACUAAUGAGUUUCCAGCGUUUGAGAUGGGAUGGAUCAUUAGAUGGUCACUGAUAGGGGAUUCUUUUUAUUCUCUAGGAAGUAGAGCAGAAAAUUGGAUUUUUAUUUUUUUUUUCUUUUUGCCUGGCUUUGUCUAAAGAUAAGCCGUAAGUGUAGCAUUGAUCUUGGUCGUAUCAUUACCAUCUACCUCUAAAGUGCAAAGGCCCUUGAUGUGUUCUUCUAGAGGGUGGCUUAGCCUUGGAUUCAAUUUCAAAUGUGAGUCUAUCCCUAUCCUCUCAGUAAAGUUUCUCACUUUUCUGUACUUGCCUGGAAUCUGUAUGACCUGUGCAGCUCUUUGUUUAUGAGUAGUGACAUAACAAAAUUAGCACUGAUCUUUCUGCAGCAAAGGUAUUUCCUUGCCUUUCCCCCGAGGCCCAUGUGCUGCUCCUGAAUGCUGGUGCCACGUGCUUGACAUUGCAUAUUGAGCCUAAUGCAUCAGCAUGGCAAUUAGCUCCAAAAUUCACUUCAGAGAUCUUCAGAAAAUGAGAAUUUUGAUUUCAGGAGGAUGUGACUUCAACUAGAACAAGGCAACCAUAUACAGGAUCACCUUGGUGGCAGAUGUGCUGGUGUAUUAGUUAGUACUGUGAGGAGUCCUUAGCUUUAAAGUGAAUGGUGUGAGUUUGAUGAUGCUGGAAUAUUUUUCUUUGUGUUGAGACAGGAGCAAAAAGGCUUGCAAAUGCUCAGUCUUCCCCCCCAUCCUUUCCCCAGUUUGAAACUGGCAUGCACAGGCAGACUCUGUGUGCACAAGGAGAAGAUAUAGGGCUGUAUUUUAAACCAAGUAAUGCGGUGCUCAUUUGGUAGUGAGAUAAAGAUGGGCUGCAAUAUAUUUGGGUCAAAGUGUUGAUCAGUUGACUUUUCUUUGAGCAAUCUUUUAGUUUUUCUUUUGAACCUUCUAUUCUUAUCUGACUUCAAAAGCAGUUGAGGACCUUCACAAAAUUCCUUCACGCAAAAUUUUUGCUACUGAAAACAUAUAUCCACCUUGUUUAGCCAACUUAAAACUUUAACAUAAUGCCUAUUCUCUUUUAGUUAAUAUUUUGUUAUUUACAUUAAAAGUUGUUGGAUAGAUCUGUUAAUGCAGCUCUUAGCAAAUGUGUGCUGUUGUUUAAAUCUAGCUGAUGCUGGCAGGUACUGCCUGAGGUGGAAGUAAGAUACAUUUGGAGUCAUGCCUUUUUUUGGGGGGGGGCUGUUUCUUUUCUUUAAACUAUUGUUUCCAUGCAAAAGAAAGAAACUGCAGGAGGAGAAGGAUUGUUUUAUUUUGGAAACCUUCUGUCCAAUUGAGAGAAGAAGAGCUGGCUGUGGUUUCAGUGUGGCCAGAGAGUUACGUUCUUAUGCACUGGUUUAUUUAUGGGUAGGUCUUUCACUGUGACUGGAGAUUUCUGUAAGUGUAGGUAAAACACUGACAUCUAGUGCCUAAAACACUGCAUCCAAACAUACACUGAGACUCCAGUCCUGUUCCUUCUGUGAUGAACAGUGUUGGCUAUCCAGUAACAUUAUGGACUGGAUAUAGUUUUAAGGAUUGGCUCUAUAUAACCAAAAGAAAGCUAUUAUUUUGCACAACAAAAAGUAGCUAGAGGGUCGCAUGCAGUGCAAGGUGAACUUCUCUAGUGGAGGCUGCUCAUACAAAGGUCCCAGUGGGAGUGAUCAUACAGCAAGAAAAUCCAACCUACACGUUAUCUAUUGCUAUGCUGAAGACACAUUUUCUUUCAAUUUCCUUGUGUUAAAAUAUAGCCUGUCUAAAUACAGGCUAUAAAGAGUUUGCUUGAUGAGUCUGAGUGCUGUCCUCAGCGAGAUGCAGAGGAGCUGCAGGAUCAGGUUGUACAUCAAAUCUGCUGCUAAUCAAAGAGAAUCAAAUCAGCUAAUCAAAGAGAAUGGCUGCAAGUGGAAAAUUACCACUGAGAGAUGGAAAACCAUCCCCUGGUGCAGAGAGCAACCUCUGCCCUUCACCUAGCAUCAUAAUGAGCAUGGCACUGAGGAGAUGCACUCUUGGAUUUGAUAAAUAAAUCCAGACCGAACAAAGCAUUGCAUCAGCUCGAAACCUGGAACGGGUUGGAAUCAACUCCGCCUGGAAGUGCCUGGUGUCCACUAAGGUUGAAUGUGCUCUGUGUCUGCAGCCUUGCUCUUGCAUGUCUUGGCAUGGGUCUUGAAGCUGCUCUGGUCUCACUGAACAGCUCUCAGGGCUGUCCCAGCCAUGGCUGAAGAGCAAAGCCUCAUCUCUUUUCCCUUUCAAGUGAAACAAAGAGAACAAACAGUUUUGUGGUGCGUCUUACAUGUUAUUGACUUGGCUCAAGGAGCUGGAAAAUAAGUCCUUUUGGUGGUCCUUAGUGGAAGCCAGCAGGCCCUGGUUUGCCAGCUGUCUGUCCUCAGGGAGGUGGAUAUGUUAAUUGAUGUUUAUUAUUCCUAGGUGUAAAGAUUAGCACAUUCUCAAGUGUCUUGCUGGAUUGUCUGUAGUAGAUAAGCAGGGUUUAUGGUUAUGGUCUGAGAACAACUGACUGGAAGUGAAAUAUUUGCAUUGCAGUGGAACAAAACAGAAAUGAAACAGUAUUUCUUCCUCUUAGGGAUUUCCUAUAGGGCCAGAAGGUGCCACUGAGCUGCUCUGAAUUUCUGAGCCAUUCAGAGCAAGCUGUGUGUGCCAUGGCCCCGCAUGGCAGGACCCCAGGCUGAGGAGCAGCCAGUCUCCAUCAGCACUUCCUCACUGAGCUACACCAAGCUCCAUGUAAGAGGUAGCUGUCUCUUCUGCUCUGCUUUGCUCCUCUUGGAGAGCUGUUGUCUGAACAGGUGUUUCCAAUGGUCCUCUCAUCUGCUUCUAAGUUCAACGUGUACUUGGCCAUGUAUGCUUACUUGCCACUGUUGAUCUUCAGUUUCUAAAGGACGCAGAAGGAGAAGCUGAGCUAAAUAUCAGCUGGUAAACACAGCUCCUUAGAGAGAUUUGAUCUCUUCUGAGCCUUCUUAGCCCUGAACACCUUAAAAAGUUUUCUUCAAGUGCGGUUCUCCUUUCUGUCUCUCCCUAUUUGCUGAUGUGUCAAUCUGAGCUAGUUUGUGUAUUCAGGAACUUGGCAAUACCCUUUAGGAGGUCUCAUGGGGCCUUUCAGUUUGUCCCCAUCUCCAGCAGAAGGUUCUCCUCAUCUCUCCAGAGCUGCUUCUUCCUUUUCCAUAGCUCAAGCUCAAGCUGGCAGCUCAGAGGCAGCACAGGGGUUUUCCUCUUGCAGUUGUUGCCAGCUGAGGGGAUUCUGCUAGCAGCAGAGGGUUACUCCUUGCAAAAAUGUUACUCAGUACUUCACGCCUUUUCCAUUACAUGGCUCUUUUCCUUCUGCCUCUGCUAAUCCAAACCAAUGAUCCAGCAAAUCCUUCCAAAAGGUGUCUCCAGCAAUGGCAAGGACCAAAGCCUUUGGGAAGGAGCAGGACUCCUCCUCUCAGCAUCAUUGUCUAAGCUGUCCUUAAAAAAACAAACAAACAAAAAAACCCCACAACAACAACAAAACCACACACACAAACACACAAAUCACCUUAAACUACAUUUAUGGCCCUGGAUUUGAGAAUUUCUUUCACUACAUACAGAGAAGCCUGUGCGUAGUCUGCUGAAAGUUUUUCUUGCUGAGAAUCAUUAGAAUGCCAUUCUUUUAUGCUUCCCUUGUCUUUCUCUAGUUUCCUCUGCUUCCUUUCUUUCAACAAGAGUCCUGUUGAGACAACUUAAUAUAGAAGAGAGUUCACAGGAGUGGCCUCAGGUCCUGUCUGAAAGGUGGGUACAGGUUUGCCUGUCUCUAAAGGCCAGUUCCUCCUCCCCAUGCACUUCCCCCUGCAGUACCCACUUCGACCCAUCCAAAGCUCAGGCAACAUGAGCUAUUCAGCAGGGAAAAGAUGCAGAAGCUUUCCCAAGCAGGUGGCUGUGCUGCAGGAAGGUAUUCACUCGUGCAUUAUUUUUUUUGUGAAAAUCUGGUAUUUCCAGGUAUGAUGAAUGAAGCAAAACUCCUUUUGUGCCCCAAAAAAGGCUGGAUCUGGCUGGUCCAAGGAAUGCCACAGAUGUCUCCCGCUUUGCUCCUGCUGUUGAGCUGACAGAAGCAGAAUGACAAGGCUAUAAAACAGGCAAGGAGACAAAUUUAGGGAGUUAUUGUAAAGUGCAUAUAUACCCAUAGUUGGCUAUGUGUAGUUCUUCAGAGGAGGUGGGUUGGUCUUUCAAAUCAGCUAAGGAACCAGUGCAACUGCCUGGAAUAAUUACAGGGCGUUUGUCAUUGGUUCUGAUCUAAUCUUUUAAGUACACCCUAGAUUUCUCUUCCUAUGUCUGCAGUCACAUGUCGCUUGUAGUUUCUAGUCUAAAUAACUGCAUUUAUGGGAUUAGCUGACACACAAGCUGCCCAUCAGAUGAGAUUUGUUUUCUGGGAUCUGAGCUGAGGAAAAAGCCUUUCUUUUGGUUUGCCACGAACAGCCCAUUUUCUAUUCAUUUGCAAUUCUUUCUUGUUGUAUGAAUGAAAUAGUGAAUAUUUACUAGAUACUUUCCUUCUGGCCGCUAAAAUAUAAGAAUUACAGAAACCUUCUCUGCAAACCUGUCUUCUAGGAAACCUGAAAUCAUAUCUUGAGUUAUUAAAGUUUAAUAGCUAGUGUGUAUAUGGGGGGGAAGUAAUUACUUCCCAUAACAUCGUUCUCUUUCAAGAAUGUGGCCGUAACCCCUGAUGCAAAAUUAUUCCACUGGCAUUAUAAACCACAGUGUAAUGACUUAUAAUGUCACCUCUUACUACCACAGAGAAACCUUUAUGUUACGACUUAGAUUAUACACCAGAAAUGAAGAUGACUGUAAUGAAAGGAGAUAGCUGAUGUGUCAAGGUGGCAUUUGAGCUAAGGACUUCGUUGCGAUAUGUGUUGGAACAUGAUUUAAUUAGGCAUGCUGUUUGGUGGGGUUUUUUUUUGUCUUGGUUAAAAAGGAUCCAGAUUCAAUUGUCUUCAAUGGUGUUCUGCAUAUUUUCUGUCAGUAGAAAUGGAUGGUGUUGGUAAAUCUCAGAUUUGACUCUGUUUUCCAGCAUCUUAAGAUGCUGCAGCUUAAAAUGCUGUCAGGUAUGUCACUGAUAAAAUUGUUGUUGUUGAAUUGAUGGGGACCCCAGCAGGGCUCCUUCAGAUAGGAGGAGAGCAUGAAGUUGGGUUCUUCUUAUCACAGAAUCACAGAAUGGUUCGGGUUGGAAGGGAUCUUAAGGCCCACCCAGUUCCAACCCCCACCGGCUCAGGUUGUCCUGGUCCCAUCCAACCUGGCCUUGGGCACCUCCAGGGAUGGGGCACCCACAGCUUCUCUGGGCAGCAGUGCCAGGGCCUCACUGCCCUCUGAGUAAAGAAUUUCCUCCUAACAUCUAACCUAAAUCUCCCCUCCUUUUUAGUUUAAAGCCAUUCCUCAUCUCUACCAAUCAUUAGUUGAAAGUAUCCCUCCACUGUUUUCCCUUCACCCUCAUCCUCCUUCCCACCGAACAUCUACAGAAACCAGAGGCAGUGCACAGUGCUCCACCCCCUCACAUUCUCAUAGGGCUCCUUAGCAUCUGACGUACUUUGGAUCUGUGGCAAAUAAAAGAUAUUGCCCCAUUGUGGUAUAUGUUUUACAGUAGCUGAAACACUGACCUGUGUGCAUUAAGGCCUUUACACAGUCAUACAAAAAACUCACAUGGGGGAUAUGGAGGUUUUUGAGCGCUGUGGGGCCUGAUGUCUGAGCUUAUCUGGACAGAUUAAUUAGAAGCAAUCAGGAAGGCAGUCCAGGCCUUUUUCCCAUGAGAUCAUGCCCCAUCAGAAGCCAUAUUCCAGGAAGAAAUGUUGGGAGUAAAUAGUUUUUAUGAGUGUUUAUCAGCAUGAAGGUCAUCCCCUCCCAGAAACAAGCAACUUCUGUGACUUAGGGAAAACAGAGCUGAAGUCAGAGCAAGCCUGGAUGCUCAGCUGAAUCCUCAAAUGCCUUCCUUGGUUGAUCUGGGGGAAGUCAGAUCCUGGCAAACCCUUGGUCCUUAGUGGAAAACAGUCCUAGCUGUGGUGACUUGGCAGGAAAGUUACUGGGAGUGUUAGAGCCAAACUUUUUUUCUGUUUUGCUGGUAAUUACUGUGCUGUUAAGGCAUUCAUGCUGUUACUACAGUAUUUCAGCAUUAUCCUCUAGAACAGUCCUGUAGGCACGGGGAGGAUGGCAGAGAAGAGGCUUUCGUGAUAUGUUUUGCUCUUGAGAAAGUUGGUGUUUGUUCAAACAAAACACAAUGCAGGAGCUUGUCAGAUGUAAUCAGCUGCAGCAGAAGAAUGUCAAAUAUGCAAUCCUCAUUUCAUUUCUGUUCUUUCUGAUGUCAAAAUGCUUUACUCAACUUUUUUUUUUUUUUUUCAUUUAGAUUUGACUGUUCUUUUUUUUUUUAAUUUUAAUAUUAAGAAUAGGUUGUUCCUCUGAAGAAUUCAUAAGGCUGGGAAAUGAUGAUCGGUGUUAAAUUACACACUAUUAAAAAGAAAUUACAUGGUAUUUUUGAAUCAGACUAUUUUGUUGGCUCUUCUUCUCUCUCCCCCAGUCUUUGAUUUCUCUUUUAGUGCUGUAUUCCUGGUAUGAAGAGUUAAUUUCUGACUGGGUUGAGAUAACCGCACCCAUAUGGGAGCUGAAUUAUUCUAAGGGCAUCAAAAUGCAUCAACUCCAAGCUCUUCUGAACUGAAUUUGAAUUGCUUUUUUUUUUCUUAUUUUUUUUUUUCUCUUUUUAUAGCAGCAGUCGUAUUAUUAGAGCAAGGUUGUUUGCCUUGCCAGAAAAUUUCCUCGCUCCCAUCAGCAGAGGCAGCUUUCUGACACGCAGCGCUUUCACCGAUCGUAUUUCAAGUGACCCUUGUAAUUGGUGAGCAUCAACUGGCGGUGCAGUUCCAGCAUUAAACUUUAACUUCUCUCAUUUAGGGUCUUAAUUGUGCUUUGAAAUGUUUGAUGGCUUGGCUGACCUUUUUUCUGGGUUAGCCGAGGCUGAGAUUUGUCUGCCAGAACUGAAGCCGCAGAGGAAACCUCGAAGCAUGGCACCUCAUUGGUUUCAGUUUGAUAGCUUGCUCGCGUGUCUCUUCUUUUAGAAAUGUCCCCAAACUUCUUAGAAGUUUCAAAUGGAGUGAUAGGAAAAAUAUGGGAACACCAAGAACUUUACAAUCUAGGCAGCGAACAUAAGCUGAAGUUCUACUGAUAUGAAAAGCACGAGUUGCAUGCUGUAAUCCAUUUUUGUACUUAUAAAUUAUUUCUCAACUUUUCUUUCCCUGAAGGAAGUCUCCCAGCAGUACAGAGAUUUCUCUUGCUAGCAGACAAGUCCUACACUAAGUCCUAUACCAGAAUAUUUCCCUGUUUUGUACACCUAUGGUUUAACCUGAAAACAGCAAAAAUGAGUUUUUUGUUUGGUCUGAUCCAAUACCUCCUAAGCAGAGGGGACAAGAUUCAUACAAUGGAUACAGGUAUUGCAUGUGCAAUCUCUUUCCUUACCCUAUCUCCACACCCUGAUUGGUUUUCCUGCCAGCCUCACAGCUCUGUGGUGACACUUGUCCUGCCACUGCCUGCAGAGCUUAGUGCCACAUGCCUCGCUGGGGACGAAGCCCUCCUGGCUGUGAUGCAAGAUGGUGGAGACCUCAUCCAGCCCUGUUUGUGCAGAAGGAGAGGAGCAAAUCAAACACAGGAGGUAGGAAUUGGGGCCAGACAUCUACACUGUGUCUAAGGAGUGGCUUGUAACAAUGCCUUGAUGGGCAACAGAGCAAGGGGGUUUGUUUGAGGGGGCUGCUGGAGACAGAAUUCCCCUUCUUUCCCUUUAGAUCUGUUUUUCAUAUCUCCAUUCUUGAUGCUAGAAGGGGAUUUGGUACUAUAGGACUCCCUAGCCCUCCUAGAAUCCCUCCCAUUCUUGUGCAUUCAGAUGUCCUCCCACUUUAGCUGAUACCUUGCCAAAUAUUAGCCUCGGAGUUAUAUCUUACCUCAUAUUUAUAAAUCUGCAGAAGAAACACCAAGCUGAGUACAGCCAAGUACCAUCCUCCAAAGGGAGGACUAAACCCAGCCACUUGAUUAUACCUCCAAAAGAGGUUUUAUUGGAGAAAACAGGAGUGGGAGGGUAUGGUGGCCAGGGUGGGACUGCAGCUAUGCCUGGCCAACCUGGAGAGCAAAUGUUGUGAACCCCUCAGCUGUGAAUUCCUGGAGAUCUUCCAUCCCUGCCCUACAGAAAGGGAGGAAGAAAAAAAGACUGGCUUCACAUUAAAUGGAAAUACAGCUUUGAAAUUGAUCGGCAGUGCUCUGAAGGGUGCUGGCUCUCAGCUCACUGAUGAUGCUCUCCCUAGCACGAUCAAAUGGGGGCCAUUGCAGAGAAGGCAGUGACCACAUCUGGCUUCCAGGCUCAGAGCCUUACGUUCACCAUCAGCAGGUAAAACUUGACAUUCCACAUUUUCAAUAAGCCUUGCAAAUGAGGAGCAAAAUGCAAUAUUGCAGUGGGUGGCUUACAGUUAUGCUGGGUGCAUUAAAGUGCAGCUCUCCCUGUACAUCCCUUUCUCUGAUUCCAGUUCAGGAGUCCAGACUGUAGAACAGCAUUGGUUGUACAGUUAAUUUUGAAUAGCAUCUUGCACCUUGUGUUGGUGAAAGUGUUGGAGGUAUCGACGAGUGUUGUGUUGAAGAACUGCUUACAUGAAGAGGGCUGUUAAGAUCGUAGAAUCAUAGA